UUGAGGAGGUCUGGGAGGCGACCGGGAUGGAGGCUUUCUGCAGAUUCACACAUGCUUGGCCCAGUAUGGUGUCCUGCUCCCAAGCCAGCAAGUGGCAAGUGACAGGGCUGUAUGUACCACGGGAAUCUUUACAAAGCAGGGUGCCCGCAACACUGUACCCCACCUCAUUGUCCGUGAGAGAACAACCUCUCUCCCAGCCCGUGAUGGGCGGGGCCAGACCCAGCCGCCUCCCACUUGGGUGCUCCCAGAACCAUCCUAUGCUAACUACUGGUCUGGGCUGCGUGUUUGACUGAAAAUGUCAUGUUUCCGCCUAUGGUGAUGGCCACAGACGGAGGGAGCCUUUCAGCCUGGGUUCCUGGGAAAAGGAGGAGAAGGACAUUAAUUGGUACUGUCUGUCAGGUUUCCUUCUUAUAACCAAGAAGCCAAGAAACCCACUCGUGAAGAGGAAGGCCCUACCAUGGCUGCGGGUGACACGUGCCUUCGGACCUAAAAGACUCAUCUCUCCCAGCAUCGUCACCCUACAGACCAAGCUGUCACCACGUGAGCCUUAGGUGACAUUUAACAUCCAGAAUUUCUCUGCUUAGAGGGAGCAGAGCUGGGUGACUUCCCAAAGAGACAUGACAGCUGAGAGGACGUGGGACCACAAACAAUGUCGACCCGAGGUACGACACAGUCUGAUUGGGACCAACAUGGUCUCAUUCCAAAGUGUUUUGAGUCAGCAAUGAGGUAAACUUUUUGUUUGUUUUUCUGUUUGUUUUGCUUGUUUUUCUGUUUGUUUUGCUUUUUGUAUUUGAAUCAGGGACCAAGUCCUGGUCAGCGUUCCUUGUAGCUGUCUUAGGAACCCAAGAAGAGAAUCUGGCUGAGGAAAAACGCCGACAUUAAAGCCAUAAAACUGGAUAUGAAUGAACUUCCGGAUCAAGCUGUACCUAAAAGUCUGGCUUUCCAGUACCGUGUGACAUUAAAGACCCCUUGGGAGUUGAGCAGGGUUUUCUAAACCUG